rnacentral:rRNA from 1 species
UACGUAGGGGGGCAAGCGUUGUCCGGAAUCAUUGGGCGUAAAGCGCGUGUAGGCGGCUCGAUAAGUCUGCUGUGAAAGUUCAGGGCUCAACCCUGAAAUGCCGGUGGAAACUGUCGGGCUAGAGUCCGGAAGAGGCGAGUGGAAUUCCUGGUGUAGCGGUGAAAUGCGCAGAUAUCAGGAGGAACACCCAAAUGGCGAAGGCAGCUCGCUGGGACGGUACUGACGCUGAGACGCGAAAGCGUGGGGAGCAAACAGG